GAUGAACGCUGGCGGCGUGCCUAAUACAUGCAAGUCGAGCGAACAGCCGAGACGCUUGCUCCUCUGACAAUAGCGGCGUGCGUGAGUGUAACACGUGUAUAAAAUGCGUAUAUAACUGGGCUCACUUCGGGAGACCGCAGCUAAAAACGACUAAUAUUUUGACAUACAAGGACAAAUCCUGAAAGCCGGUUUUGCUGAAACUCAUAGAUGGAUGAGGGCCGCAUUAGCUAGUUGGUAAUGGAACGGGUUACCAAGGACACGACGCGUAACCGACCUGAGAGGGUGGUUGACCACACUGGAAGUGAGACACGGUCCAGACACCUACGGGAGGCAGCAGUAGGGAAUCUUACGCAAUGGAGGAAUGCCUGACGUAGCAACGUCGCGUGAGUGAUGAAGGUGCUCCGAUCGUAAAGCUCUGUUAUUAGGGAGUAACAAAUGUGUAAGUAACUAUGCACGUCUUGACGGUACCUGACUAGAAAGCCACGGCUAACUACGUG
rnacentral:rRNA from 1 species